rnacentral:rRNA from 1 species
AAAUGAAUAGACGGGGCCCCGCACAAGCGGCGGAGCAUGCGGAUUAAUUCGAUGCAACGCGAAGAACCUUACCAAGGCUUGACAUGCAGGGAAAACUCAUAGAGAUAUGAGGUCCGUAAGGGUCCUGCGCAGGUGGUGCAUGGUUGUCGUCAGCUCGUGUCGUGAGAUGUUGGGUUAAGUCCCGCAACGAGCGCAACCCUCGUCUUAUGUUGCCAGCGGGUAAUGCCGGGGACUCAUAAGAGACUGCCGGGGUCAACUCGGAGGAAGGUGGGGAUGACGUCAAAUCAUCAUGCCCCUUAUGUCUUGGGCUUCACGCAUGCUACAAUGGCUGGUACAAAGGGCUGCGAGACCGCAAGGUGGAGCGAAUCCCAAAAAGCCAGUCUCAGUUCGGAUUGGGGUCUGCAACUCGACCCCAUGAAGUCGGAGUCGCUAGUAAUCGCAGAUCAGCAACGCUGCGGUGAAUACGUUCCCGGGGCUUGUACACACCGCCCGU